rnacentral:rRNA from 1 species
UGGGAGGACCAUCUCCUAAGGCUAAAUACUCUCUAGUGACCGAUAGUGAACCAGUACCGUGAGGGAAAGGUGAAAAGCACCCCGGAAGGGGAGUGAAAUAGAACCUGAAACCGUGUGCUUACAAGUAGUCAGAGCCCGUUAAUGGGUGAUGGCGUGCCUUUUGUAGAAUGAACCGGCGAGUUACGAUUUGAUGCAAGGUUAAGCAGUAAAUGUGGAGCCGUAGCGAAAGCGAGUCUGAAUAGGGCGUUUAGUAUUUGGUCGUAGACCCGAAACCAGGUGAUCUACCCUUGGUCAGGUUGAAGUUCAGGUAACACUGAAUGGAGGACCGAACCGACUUACGUUGAAAAGUGAGCGGAUGAACUGAGGGUAGCGGAGAAAUUCCAAUCGAACCUGGAGAUAGCUGGUUCUCUCCGAAAUAGCUUUAGGGCUAGCCUCAAGUGAUGAUUAUUGGAGGUAGAG